UCCUUUMAAUAARGACUAGUAUGAACGGCUUCACGAAGGCUAUUCUGUCUCCUCUAUCUAAUCAGUUAAACUAAUCUCCCCGUGAAGAAGCGGGGAUUAACCUAUAAGACGAGAAGACCCUAUGGAGCUUUAAAUAUCUAAGACAUUUGAUCUUACCAUUAAACUUCAUGUAACCUAUCAUUUCUGCCUUAAGUUUUAGGUUGGGGUGACCGCGGAGAAAAAUCAAACCUCCACGUAGAAAGAAAAUUUUCUUCUAAGCAAAAAGACACAUCUUAACGCAUCAAUAUAUUGACCUAAAUUGACCCAAUUUCUUGCUCAACGAACCAAGUUACCCUAGGGAUAACAGCGCAAUCCGCUUUGAGAGCUCCUAUCGACAAGCGGGCUUACGACCUNGAUGUUGGAUCAGG
rnacentral:rRNA from 1 species